GCACUACUGAUGAGUUCCAAUAAGAACGAAACUCGAGUCUAGUGC
rnacentral:hammerhead_ribozyme from 1 species